GACGAACGCUGGCGGCGUGCUUAACACAUGCAAGUCGAACGGAAAGGCCCUGCUUUUGUGGGGUGCUCGAGUGGCGAACGGGUGAGUAACACGUGAGUAACCUGCCCUUGACUUUGGGAUAACUUCAGGAAACUGGGGCUAAUACCGGAUAGGAGCUCCUGCUGCAUGGUGGGGGUUGGAAAGUUUCGGCGGUUGGGGAUGGACUCGCGGCUUAUCAGCUUGUUGGUGGGGUAGUGGCUUACCAAGGCUUUGACGGGUAGCCGGCCUGAGAGGGUGACCGGCAAAAUGGGGAAUGAGAGACGGCGGGGACGCCGACGGGGGGAAGCAGUGGGGAAGAGGGCACAGGGCGGGGAGGCCGGAUGCAGCAACGCCGCGUGCGGGAUGACGGCCUGCGGGUAGUAAACCGCUUGCGCCUGUGACGAAGCGUGAGUGACGGGAAUGAGAAAAGAAGCACCGGCUAACUACGU
rnacentral:rRNA from 1 species